rnacentral:rRNA from 1 species
UACGUAGGGGUCGAGCGUUGUCCGGAGUUACUGGGCGUAAAGGGCGCGUAGGCGGCCUUCUAAGUCAGACGUGAAAUCCCCCGGCUUAACCUGGGAACUGCGUCUGAUACUGGGAGGCUUGAGUAUGGGAGAGGGAUGUAGAAUUCCAGGUGUAGCGGUGAAAUGCGUAGAUAUCUGGAGGAAUACCGGUGGCGAAGGCGGCAUCCUGGACCAUAACUGACGCUGAGGCGCGAAAGCUAGGGGAGCAAACGGG